GGCUCCUACUGCCCUCUGGGCUCUGCCUCCCCCCUGCCCUGCCCUGCUGGCCAGUACAGCAGCUCAGCUGGGAACACUGGGAUCCAGGACUGCCUCCCGUGUGAUGCAGGGUAUUUCUGCAAUGGGACUGGACUUGUGUCCCCCACUGGAUUGUGUGAGGCUGGCUUCUACUGCACUGCAGGAAGCCUUUCCCCCAGACCUCCCAGGCCAACUACCAGUGGAGGUCCCUGUCCCCCUGGGCACUUCUGUGAGGAGGGGAGCAGCAGAGCCCAGCCCUGCCCUGCAGGGACCUACAGCCCAUCCUGGAGUGGGACCCAGUGCCUGGAGUGCCCAGAGGGCUUUUACUGCACCUCUGCCUCCAGCAACUACACAGACUGUCCUCAAGGUCACUACUGCCCCAGGAGCACAGAAUUUGCCACGCAGCAUCCUUGUCCCCCUGGAACCUACAGUGAAGCCCUGAAUGUCUGGGAUGUGUCCAAGUGCCAGCUGUGUCCUCCUGGCAGGGUCUGUUCCAGGCCAGGCCUGGUGAGGCCAGAUGGACUCUGCUCGCCUGGCUGGUUUUGUCCACCUGGAUCCACAUCAAGCAAACCAGUGUUUCCUGGAAAUGUCUCUGGAAAGGCAGCUCCAGCUCCAGGAUCUGUUGGGUUGUGCCCAGCAGGAACCUUUUGUCCUGCUGGGUCAUCCCUUCCCCUUCCCUGCCCUCCAGGU